ensembl:lncRNA
UUAUCACACACGGAUAUGAUGCAUGUUUUUCUCAUUGUUCUUUUCGGUCCCGUAGGAGCUUUAACUUCUAGUCAUAAUUUGACCAGUGGAACAGUGUUGGAGAUGAUGGUCAGACCAGGAGAAAACAUAACUCUCUACUGUGACUGUAAAACUUCAACUGGAGAAUUCAUAGUGUGGUACAGGAAUUGCUCUCAUGAGAAACAACCUUCUCUUGUUCUAAAAACAAAGCUUGAGCAAAGACAAUAUAAACCAGGUAUUGAUUACCAAAACCUUCUGAAUCCACUCCCUAAUUUCCAUCUUGUGAAAAAUCAUUCCUCUCAAUCCUAUGACCUGCUGAUCACAAACAUCACUGAUUCAGAUGAGGGCUUCUACUACUGUGGAACUGAACAAUCUAAGGUGAAGGACAAAGAAACAAUUAAUCUUGAAUGCCUUUAUAGAUAUGGAAACCUCACCACAAAGAUCCUACUUCACCCCCGUGAGCCUCAAACCACGCAAAAAGACUGUGGUAUAUGCUGGAUGCUUCUCUUCUCUCUGUGUCCAGCUUUUGUGGCCCUCUCAUCUCUGCUAUGUUCUCUUUUGAUAUAUUACCAUCACAAGACAGCUAAGAAACCUCCGGCUGAUGAGAAAAGAUAUGAGAGCAGAGACCAGAUGAGAAGAAAUCAGAAUGAAGAUGUGUGUUAUGCAGCACUGGAAAUCCAGCCAGUAUCUCAGAGACCAAAGAAGAGGAUUGCCCAGAGUUCAGAUUUCAGUGCCAACACAACCAUGAAUAGUUUUCACAUGUAAUGAACUUUUUUUUCCCUCAGUAUGGUUACUAAGUAUUGUUGAUAAGUAGUCUGUGCUACCAGAUCUGAUAAGGAAAGAUUAUGUAAGAUUAUGGUCUUUUUUCCCCCAAAAAAAUCAAUGUAAGGAAGUGAUUACCUCCACAAGAAUUCUAAUGCUUAGAUAUUUAAAAAUAAUAAAUAUUUACUGUGUUAGCAAAGUUUUUAAAAUUGCGACUUGGUGUUAAAGUCACCUUAACUUGGAAAUAUCAUUUUAACUUCUUAAUCCUCCUAUAACAAACCCUUAGUAUUUAUGUGAUCAUUGUAAUACAUCUGUGUGCUGUGCUUUAAAACAGUGAAUUUUCAGAUACACUGUAGGCUACAAUAUUUUUUAAACCUAAUAAAGUUCAUUAAAAUGUAACCUAUUUUAAUUGUGAAUAUUUUGCAUUCCCCUUACUGAUCGACAGCCUACCGUGAAUGGUUUGACUCACACAAAAAAAGAGUAUAAAACAAAAAGGCCCAGGCCAAAAGCAAUUUAACAUACUAUCAUACCAGUUGUAUUAAUUUCUAAAUGGUUCUUUUACAGAUUCAUAUAUACUACUCAGAAAACCUACAGUUUUUGGACAUUUUUGUGUCAUUUUGAAGACUAAUAGAUAUCGAUGUUAAUUUAACAUUUCAUAUCCAACUCUACCAUUUGGUGCUGUG